rnacentral:rRNA from 1 species
AUUGAACGCUGGCGGCAUGCCUUACACAUGCAAGUCGAACGGUAACAGGUCUUCGGAUGCUGACGAGUGGCGAACGGGUGAGUAAUACAUCGGAACGUGCCCGAUCGUGGGGGAUAACGAAGCGAAAGCGUUGCUAAUACCGCAUAAGAUCUACGGAUGAAAGCCGGGGACCGCAAGGCCUUGCGCGAGCGGAGCGGCCGAUGGCAGAUUAGGUAGUUGGUGGGAUAAAAGCUUACCAAGCCGACGAUCUGUAGAUGGUCUGAGAGGACGACCAGCCACACUGGGACUGAGACACGGCCCAGACUCCUACGGGAGGCAGCAGUGGGGAAUUUUGGACAAUGGGCGAAAGCCUGAUCCAGCUAUGCCGCGUGCAGGAUGAAGGCCUUCGGGUUGUAAACUGCUUUUGUACGGAACGAAAAGCCCUGGGUUAAUACCCUGGGGUCAUGACGGUACCGUAAGAAUAAGCACCGGCUAACUACGUGCCAGCAGCCGCGGUAACAC